GUUACGAUGCCCUAAGUGGUUAGAGUGUCCACCUCUGACGUGGGAGGUCGCUGGUUCGAAUCCCGGCUAAGUCAUACCA